AUACGGAGGGUGCAAGCGUUACUCGGAAUCACUGGGCGUAAAGCGCGCGCAGGCGGCUUGGUAAGUUGGAUGUGAAAGCCUACGGCUCAACCGUAGAACUGCAUCCAAAACUGUCAAGCUAGAGUGUGGGAGAGGAAGAUGGAAUUAGUUGUGUAGGGGUAAAAUCCGUAGAGAUAACUAGGAAUACCAAAAGCGAAGGCAAUCUUCUGGAACACUACUGACGCUGAGGCGCGAAAGCGUGGGGAGCAAACAGAAUUAGAAACCCUAGUAGUCC
rnacentral:rRNA from 1 species